CCAUGUUCUCUCUCCAUCUUAGCACCACACAGUAAACCUAUAAGCUCACAAACUCAUCAAUUCAAAUAAUCUAAUGGAUGUGGACCAUUCUACUUCUAGAAACUUUAUGUAACAAGGUAAAGUACCUAAACCCCUUUCUUUUUCUCUAUGGGCGUGAUAGUCCAAUUUCUCGCUACUAAGGAAUUUCACUUUUCAAUCUUUAUGAAUCUUGGUCUGCAUGUACCCUUUUGGAUGUUUGGGUAGCUGUUAAGAAUGGAUAGAAACUUGGAAUUAGUAAGAACUCUUCAAAGACUUGAAGAAUUAAGUUGAGGAGGCCUAUAUAAGGACAGUAGCUAAAGAGCAUAGUAGAGGAUAAGAACAAUCAAAGCUAGGAGCUUGAAGGACUUGGGUUGAAGCUUGAGGAGUGAUUGGUGAUUUUUUGGUGAAACUCGUAUUCUGGUAUAGGUUUUCAUUCAAAAGGUAAUAGCUCUCUCGCUGUAACUCCGAAUUGAGUGAUUUUUGUUUCUAUGGAAAGCUGACGAAAUUCCCUUCGACUGAGUUUUGAUUUUGUAAUUUCUGGAUCAAUAUUGAGGCCUCGGAAGGCUUCUGAAGUUGAGGGUCUGAUAUGGAUUUUAUGCAGAAAAUUCUCUAUACGGAAUUGAAGUACCUUAUAUGCAAAUUCUGCAUUUUGGCGAGCUCCAGGAGAUGUCGAUAGUGUGGUUCAACUUCAAUUUCAGGUGGGUUUGUUUAAGUUGAGACAUGGCAACCAUAAGUCCAAAGCAUAGGGAUUUAUAAUUGUUAAGUUAGAAAAAUUGAUGAAUUUGUUUAGAAAUGUAUACUUUGAAAUGCUCGAGUAAAUUCCCUUCCCCAUACUCAAAUGUGUUAUGAAUGUGUUUGGAUAAUUGUAGUUUCAUGAGGUAUAAGUUAGGAGUCAAUGGGCAUUGUUAAAAGUUGAUUUAAUAACUUAAUUUUUAUGAAAUUAACUCCAUUUUUGCAGUAUCGAUCGAUUGAUCACCGUGUAAGAUGGAAAAAAUAUGUUGUUUUAAGGCCUGGAUGACUCCUGACUCGUACAAUAAUGGUCCUUGAUUAUUAGACAUGUUCACACACCAUUUUAACAUCAAUUUUAGAAUGGUAUGAUAAUAAUUUAGAGCUUAUGACUUGUGCGAGUUUUUCCGUAUAUUAAGACACGUUAACGCCAUUUUCGGUUGUGGUACUAUAUUGUGAUAAUAAUUUGGAGUUGACUGAUUUCAUAACAAUUUAUUUACUAUUCGGCUCUAAGUGAUUAGCAUAAUGUAUGUAAAACCUCCAACCGUCUAAUGCGAGUUAUUGUGUAAAGAUGCAUGAGAACAUAAACUAUAUUAGUUCCCCGGGACUGGUUGUUAAGUAAGAAUGUUAGAAUUAGUAUAGUUGGUCAUAUUGUGGUUAAUCCCAAACCACAAUUCAGUAUAGCUUAUGCUAUAAGAGGAUUAAGUGGAAAUCCGUUAAGUUAAGUAAUUAUUGUGAGUAAGACCAACGUGGCAUAGCUAUGACACAACGGGUAGUGGAGAACAUUUUAAGUGGAGAAUAUAUUGAGAGAAGU
rnacentral:lncRNA from 1 species